AUUACUCCUACGGGAGGCAGCAGUGGGGAAUUUUGGACAAUGGGCGUAAGCCUGAUCCAGCCAUGCCGCGUGAGUGAAGAAGGCCUUCGGGUUGUAAAGCUCUUUUAGUCGGAAAGAAAGAGUUGCAAUGAAUAAUUGUGAUUUAUGACGGUACCGACAGAAAAAGCACCGGCUAACUACGUGCCAGCGCCGCGGUAAUAAU
rnacentral:rRNA from 1 species